rnacentral:rRNA from 1 species
GAUGAACGCUGGCGGCGUGCCUAAUACAUGCAAGUCGAGCGAACAGACGAGGAGCUCGCUCCUCUGACGUUAGCGGCGGACGGGUGAGUAACACGUGGAUAACCUACCUAUAAGACUGGGAUAACUUCGGGAAACCGGAGCUAAUACCGGAUAAUAUAUUGAACCGCAUGGUUCAAUAGUGAAAGACGGUUUUGCUGUCACUUAUAGAUGGAUCCGCGCCGCAUUAGCUAGUUGGUAAGGUAACGGCUUACCAAGGCAACGAUGCGUAGCCGACCUGAGAGGGUGAUCGGCCACACUGGAACUGAGACACGGUCCAGACUCCUACGGGAGGCAGCAGUAGGGAAUCUUCCGCAAAGGGCGAAAGCCUGACGGAGCAACGCCGCGUGAGUGAUGAAGGUCUUCGGAUCGUAAAACUCUGAUAUUAGGGAAGAACAAAUGUGUAAGUAACUAUGCACGUCUUGACGGUACCUAAUCAGAAAGCCACGGCUAACUACGUG